rnacentral:rRNA from 1 species
UAAGAGUUUGAUCCUGGCUCAGGAUGAACGCUAGCGACAGACACAUGCAAGUCGAACGGUAUCCCGAUUUAUCGGGAGAGAGUGGCGCACGGGUGAGUAACGCGUAUGCACCUGUAACUGGGGGAUAGCUCCCUGAAAGGGGAAUUAACACCGCAUAAGACUACGGCAUCGCAUGGUGCAGUGGUAAGAAUAUUUAUAGGUUACAGUAUGGGCAUGCGUGACAUUAGUUUGGAGGUAACGGCUCACCAAGACUACGAUGUCUAGGGGAUUCUGAGAGGAAGGUCCCCCACACUGGUACUGAGACACGGACUACCAGACUCCUACGGGAGGCAGCAGUGAGGAAUAUUGGUCAAUGGGCGCAAGCCUGAACCAGCCAUGUCGCGUGCAGGAAGACGGCCCUAUGGGUUGUAAACUGCUUUUGUAUGGGAAGAUUGUUAGCUACGAGUAGCUCCGGUACCAUACGAAUAAGGAUCGGCUAACUCCGUGCCAGCAGCCGCGGUAAGCGGAGGGUCCGAGCGUUAUCCGGAAGCUAAAGGGUGCGUAGGCGGACUGAUAAGUCAGUGGUGAAAUACUGCAGCUUAACUGUAGAAUUGCCGUUGAUACUGUCAGUCUUGAGUACAGUUGAGGUAGGCGGAAUGUGGUGUGUAGCGGUGAAAUGCUUAGAUAUACCACAGAACACCGAUUGCGAAGGCUUACUAAAGUGUCACUGACGCUGAUGCACGAAAGCGUGGGUAUCAAACAGGAUUAGAUACCCUGGUAGUCCACGCUGUAAACGAUGAUUACUGGUUGUUAGCGAUAUACCGUUAGUUGAGCGAAAGCAUUAAGUAAUCCACCUGGGGAGUACGUCGGCAACGAUGAAACUCAAAGGAAUUGACGGGGGCCCGCACAAGCGGAGGAACAUGUGGUUUAAGAUGAUACGCGAGGAACCUUACCUGGGUUUAAAUGGGAAGUGACAGACUUGGAAACAGGUUUUUCACGGACACUGVUCAAGGUGCUGCAUGGUUGUCGUCAGCUCGUGCCGUGAGGUGUCGGGUUAAGUCCCAUAACGAGCGCAACCCCUAUCGGACCAGCACAUAAUGGUGGGGACUCUGCCGAGACUGCCGGUGUAAACCGUGAGGAAGGUGGGGAUGACGUCAAAUCAGCACGGCCCUCAUCCAGGGCUACACACGUGUUACAAUGGCCGGUACAAAGGGCAGCUACACAGCGAUGUGAUGCGAAUCUCAAAAACCGGUCUCAGUUCGGAUUGGAGUCUGCAACCCGACUCCAUGAAGCUGGCUAGUAAUCGCGCAUCAGCCACGGCGCGGUGAAUACGUUCCCGGGCCUUGUACACACCGCCCGUCAAGCCAUGGGAGCCGGGGGUACCUGAAGUAUGUAACCGCAAGGAGCGUCCUAGGGUAAAACUGGUGACUGGGGCUAAGUCGUCGUAACA